UUUUGUAAUGAUGAUUGGCAUUAAUGUUCAACUGCUCUUAUUAACCAUGAAAGAGUAUGUGCCAUUCUGAACACUC
ensembl:snoRNA